rnacentral:ribozyme from 1 species
ACGAGCAACAGUAAAAAAUGUUGGUAGAGAGGAAAACUGUGUGGACCAAUCGAAUCUUCUUUUGGUCUCUCUUGUGCUUUCUCUUUUUUCGUCUCCUCUGUCUUUCCGCCAAUUACUUACAAAUGAAGUUAGUUGGUCAGGGAGGAAGGCAACCUUCUGCCAGUAUCUCUUUUUGCGUCCUGGGACGAAAAACAAGGCCAACGAAAAAAAGGAGCCCAAUCAUUGGCCCGCAGAACUAAAAUGAAACAAAAAA